CCAUUUUCAAUCAACGCCGUCUGAACAAACAAAUCAGACCCAAAACCUCUAAUCAUCAGUAUCUAAAGUAUCUGGUUGGGGACUUGUGUCAAACAGGUGGCGCGCAUACGAGACCUCAUCGGUGACCCGUGAAAACAUCUUACGUAAUAGCUAGGUUAGGGCAACAACGUUGAUAUCUAAAGCGGUUUUGGAGAUAAGCAGGGAUUUGGAGAAGAUGAUUGAGGUUAGAUGAGUGUUCUCAGGGUUGAAACCCUGUAUCGGCGUUCUUCACAAAGAUCCUGUUUAAUAUUUGAAACAUAUUUGGGGAUAACAUUCUGAUUAUUUUUUUUAAAUCAAUGUUCUAUUGAAAAAAAAUCCUCAUAAAUUGAGGUGUAUUUUAUUCAAAUUUUAAUAGACUGAUUUUCAUCUAUACAUUUUAAUGUAUUGUAUGUAAUUUUGUUUGACGCAAAUUUUGAAAAAAUGUCGUAGAAUUGGUACAAAUUCUUUAAUAUUUAAGUAUAAUACUUCAAAAUCUCAUGAAUUUUGAUGGAAUUUCAAAAAAUUUAAAAUUCAAUGAAAAAUCUCAUAAAAUCCAUCAUUUUAUGAAAUCCAUAAAAAUCCAAUACCAUUUAUAUAUCAUAUGAAUUUUAAACAAUUCAGAUUAAAUAUCAUUGGAUUUUUUAGUAUAAUUUAAAAUUCUAAUUGAAUAUUAUCAGAUUUUAUAGCAUAAUUUAAAAUCACAAUCGAAUAUUCAAAAUUUUUUAAUGAAUUUUAAACAAUCGCAAUUGAAUAUACGCAGAUUUCAUGAAUGAAAAAAAAAUAUAUUUUUUAAAAUUCCAAUCGAAUACACCCCCUAAGUAAUCUCGAAUUUAUAAAUCAAUGGAUAAGUUGUGAUUCAUGAUUUUUAUAAUCAUGGCUCCAAUAUUUUUAUUCACACUUUUUUAUAUUCUUUAUCUUAAUCGAGUAAUAACAAAAAUCUAAAAGAUUAUCGGGCUUGUUUUAUAAUUUCCCAACCUCUUAAAUUUUUUUAUAAAAAUAUUGUUGCAAACUUUCAAUAUUUUAAAAAUACCAUUUAUUUAUUGUUUUGAUACAAAAAAUAUCAUUUAUUAUAAAUUAUUUAUAAAAAUACGACUUGCAACUUCUGCAGCCUCAUUUGCAACAACAUUUUGCGACAGUUGCAAAUGAGAAAUUGAUUUACAACUUGCUUAACAAAUACGACUUGCAAAUUCUGCAAUCUCGUUUUUCAACACCAUUUGCAACAUUUGCAAAUGAGAAAUUUCAUUUGCAACUUAUGCAACGUCAUUUGCAACAGUUGCAAACUGAUGUUGCAAAAGCGGGUUGCAAGUGGUACUUUUAUAAAUAACUAGUUAAGAAACCGCGCGUUGCGGUGGCCUAUAAAAAAUAUAUUAAUGAUUCAAUAUUAAUAUUUGUAAAAUGCUAAUACUAAUAUAUAAAAUUGUAAAAUUGGACUAUAAUUCAUGGUAAAAAAAUGAAAAUAAAUUUCUACACGUAAUUAACAAUUUAAAGCACGACGAAUCUUAAUUUAUUUGUGUUUUUUUUAAAAAGUAAUCAUGUUCUUACAUUGUCACCUUCCUCCAAUUUUUUUCCGAUUGAUUGUGCACAAAAACAUGUAACUUAAAUCCGUGAGAUAACAGUCUAUAACUACCCUUACUUGUAACAAUAAUACUGUAUGAACAGUUUUCACUUAAAAGUUGCUUGAACGGAGAAAACAGAUAAUGAUGAAUAAUAUUUUUCCUUGUACAAUGUAAAUCAUAUAAAAAAUUAACAACAACAAACAUGUCCGAUGAACAAAAUCAAAUAUUAAAAAAAAAUAACCAAAAACCAUACAUCACUAAUAGUUAAUUUAUUGAUAUCAUCCAUCAAUAUCAUGUCAAGACUAUAUUUUUCUCCCGUGUUUGGAUUUGUCGACUCCCACAUAACGGUCUAUAACUAAUUUUGCUUGAAACAACCUUUAUUUUUUUAAUACCGUAUAAACAGCAUUCACUUAUCAUUGUAGAAGAACGGCACCACCGAUUUAGAAAUCGAGCAAGAAAAUUAUCACCAGAGAGAGGUAGGGUUGUGGUAUUGAGAGAGAAUGUUGUGUUUAGAUGAUCCAAAACCCUACAACCUAUAAUUAUAAGUGCAGAAAGACUUGUGUGUGUUACUCUUUUCCAUAAUUAAAUAAUCCGAAACAAAAUCAGAUUAAAACUUUCAAGCUGCUAUAUUCCAUAAAUAAUCUGAAACAAAAUCAAAUUCUGAAACUUGCGAAAAUUCCAGAAAAUUAGAAAAAUAGAACAGAGCGAUGUGAGAGGCGCCACCUACACGCCCCUCGCUUCUCCUUUAUAUAGAAACAAAAUCAAAUUAAAACUUUCAAGCUACUAUGUUCCAUAAAUAAUCUGAAACAAAAUCAGAUCCUGAAACUUGCUUCUAAUAUAUCCGAAACUAAAAAAGGUAGUUCUAAUUUUUGAUAUUUUUUAUCCAAAAAUUUCAGUUAUAUAGAAACAAAAUCAGAUUAAAACUUUCAAGCUACUAUAUUCCAUAAAUAAUCUGAAAUAAAAUCAGAUUCUUGAACUUGCUUCUAAUAUAUCUGAAACUAAAAAAGGUAACUCCAAUUAUUGAUAUUUUUUAUCCAAAAAUUUCAGAAAAUUAGAAAAAUAGAACGGAGCGAUGUGAGAGGCGCCACCUACACGCCCCUCGCUUCUCCUUUAUAUAAGUAUAUUGAUUUGAAAAAAAAAUUGUAUAUUAAAAAAUUUUCAACCGCACAGUAUUUUUAUAAAUAAUUUAUAAGGAGUUGGUAUAUUUAUAAAUAUCCCAAAACUGAUAUUAGAAUUUAAAAUUUAAUCUUUAUUUAAUUUUAAUUAUUCUUCCUCACAUUCACUACGAGAAGAAUGGGGAAGACUUCUUUAUCGUGUUGAUGGUGAUUAAAGAUACGAGCAUUUACUUUCAAAAAAAAAAAAAGAUACGAGCAUUAAUAAAUAAUUAAAAUAUUUAUGAUUGAAAUUUAAAUAAAUUUCUUCAUAUUAAAUUUAGAAACUUGUUUUUUGUCAUACAAAUUUAGGAAUUUAGUUUAAGAUAAAUGUAGGAGUAUAAUACAAAAUUAAUUUCUUUAAUAAAUAAAAUUUAGUUUUGGAAGGUGUUUAUAGAAAAACGUAUUUAUUUUAAAAAAUAUGAGGACUUUUUUAUUUAAUAUUUUUUAGCUAUUUGCAUCUUAUAAUCACUGGAACCAAAGAUGACAACAAAUGAGUAGACUUACUCCUUCCGUCCAAUUCAUUUCUAUAACGUCUAUAGGAUGUCUCAUUAUUUAUAUACAUUCUUAAAAUAAUAUCAUUUAAUAAUAUAUUUAUACAAUCUAUUUAUAGGAUGUCUCAUUAUUUCUAUAUAUUCUUAAAAUAAUAAUUUUUAAUGAUAUAAAACAUUAUUACGAAAAUAUAUAAAUAUAUAAAUAUAUACAUUCUCAAAAUAAUAACUUUUAAUAAUAUAAAACAUUAUUAUGAAAGAAUAUAAAUAAAGACAAACCUUCUUUCUACGAAAGAAUAUAAAAAUCUACUUGAUCUUCGUAACAAACCAUCUGAACAAAAGCAUGUAAAAUAAAGAUACUAAACAAACUCAUGAACAAAAGAUCACGGACCACAAAAAUAAAGAAUCACACAACAUACGAAUAAAAAGUUGAAACCACAUAAAUAUUUGGAAGAGAUGGUGCAAAUCUUUCUAACAAAUACAAAAUUAAUCUUUAAAAUUUGUGAGUCAUAAAGUCCGGAUGAUGACCUUGCGACUGAGAUAGCUCACGAUGCCUCUAAUCAUUCAUAUCAGUGACAAUGUUAUGCAAGAUGCAGCAGGCCUUGAUCAUACUCUGAAGCUUCUCAGGUUUCAUUCCGGUUGUAAGAACCUUCCAUUCUUCCUUUAGCCUAUCCAAUUUCUCAACACUCAUUCCCUCUUCAACGGCACUAUCCAAUGUCUCAGCACUCGUUCCCCCUUCAGUGGCAGCGCCAGGCCCAUGGAGGUGGCUAAGGCCAUUUACUGCCUCCACAAAGGACCGUGUGACCUUGUCAGCAGUAAAUGAGUGCAUCCCAGUUUCAUCACCGAUUGAGUUCAGCGACUUCCCCAAUUUAAGCCUUCUCAUAGCUAUGGCCACUUUAGCAUCCACGGUUAAUUCCCUGUUAUCGUUAAAUUUGUAUUUCGGUGAAUUGCCCAGAGGCUCCUUCACAAGAGUGCAUAAGUCUCUGAAGGUUCUCAUCGAGAUCCCACAGAAUGUUUCAACUCUGUUCGAGUAUUCCCGUGGAGUAAACUGUCCUGCAAAGAAGAGAAGAUAAUGCAUUUACAUAUGUCAAUUUAACCUGAUGAAACAAUCACUCAUGAGACCGGAAACAUACUUGGUUCAGCCUGUUUGAACUACUACACAAAAUGAGAAGAAAAUUUAUUUCAUCACAUUAUAUUCUGUACAGCGGAACAGUCAUAAAAUUUUGAACUCGCAACCCAGUAUAAUAAGAGGAUAUUUGUAUAAGAAUAUGGAAAAAAGAUUGUGGACAAUCAAGACAACAUUAACAACUAUCACACACAUAUGCUAAAAUACUCAUGCGCACAUGCUAUCUUUAACUUGAUUCUUGGGUUAACACCAAAAUAGGAUUAAGUGGAAAGUACAGCCUUAAGAAUUAUUAGAUUCGAAAGAUGCAAGGACACUAAAUUAGAAGAAGAAUACCAGCAAACCUGAAAUAGAGGUCAGAAAUUCCGAAGUAACAUUUAAAAAUACUUAGAAAUUGUGAAGUUUAACAGCGAACACACACAAAACAAGCGGUUCAAUUCCACUGAUAGCUUAAAGUGUCUAGACUUAGCAACGAGAGGGAAGAAUGUGAGAGUCUUAGGUUUGCAAGACAUCUAUGUCCUUUUUUAACAAAAAGCUUCUGGCUAGUCAGAGAAAGUUUGUUUUCCUUUAAAAAAUUCACCUCCAUAAGUCAAUAAAACUACAUUGUAUCUUGAGUUCUUGACAGAAACGUCAUGUAAUUAUCGAAAAUUAUGAUUUAUUGCAUUUGACCUACCGGUUGGUUCACAGCCUGCUUCUUUUGGUGGGACUAGAUUUAUUGCAUUUGACCUGCCAGUAUCCUGUUUCUGGUGCACUAAGCUACUCCUUAACUUCUUAGGAAAGCUCUUUAUAGGAUUUCCCUGGGCAGGCUUCUCCUCUUCAUCUAUACUUGAACCAUGACCAUUGUUCUUUGGAACAAGGUUGGAAUCUAAGGAUAAAAGAAUAUUUGAUCAGUAAAGAAAAUACAAUCCAAACUUUAACAAGAAAUAAAAUGGUCAACUCUGUAAGUUGAAAUAAUAUCUGAAAUACAUAUAGAGGAUACUUGCAGAGUCAGAAUAGAAAUUUUUUACUGAGAUAACCAUAAUGAGAAUAAAACAUAAUCCUAGAUAAAUAAUCUUUUACGAAACCAGUGCACAGUCAAAUUUUACAAUACCAGUGCACAGUCAAAUAUGAAAUACAGAUGCAACAAAUAUACAUAUAAUUCCUGAAAUUGUAGUCCAGUGGAUCCCCGGACCCAUAACCCUUAGUAAAAAGAUAAGGAUUCGACACCCUGUGGAUAUAACUGUUUGAGCAAGUACUUAAAUUUCUUGUGAUUGACCUUACCCCAAAGAAAGAAAUAAACAUUUAUAUAUAACUAGAAAAUUCAAGACUUAAAAACAAUUAUUCUGUCUCAAUAAUACUUCUCAUAGAUGAAAUACAUGGAUACUACCAUUAUUAUAUUGUGAAUCCCCUAGAUAUGUCAAUUUGAACUAAUUAAACAAUCACUCAUGAGACUGGAAACAUACUUGGUUCUGCCCGUUUGAACUACUACACGAAAUGCGAAGAAAAUUUAUUUCAUCACAUUGAUUUCUGUACAAUGGAACAGUCAUAAAAUUUUAAACUCAAACCCGGUAUAAUAAGAGGAUAUUUGUAUAAGAAUAUGGAAAACAGAUCGUGGACUAUCAAGACAACUUUUAACAACUAUUACACACAUAUGCUAAUACUCAUGCGCACAUGCUAUAUUCAACUUGAUUCUUGGGUUAACACCAAAAUAGGAUUAAGUGGAAAGUACAGCCUUAAGAAUUAUUAGAUUCGAAAGAUGCAAGGAUACUAAAUUAGAAGCAGAAUACCAGCACCUGAAAUAGAGGUCAGAAAUUCCGAAGUAACAUUUACAAAUACUUAGAAAUCGUCAAGUUUAACAGCGAACACACACUAAACAAGCGGUUCAAUUCCACUGAUAGCUUAAAGUGUCUAGACUUAGCAUCGAGAGGGAAGAAUGUGUGAGUCUACGUCCUUUUUUUAUCUAAAAGCUUCUGGAUAGUCAGAGAAAAGUUUGUUUUCUUUUAAAAAAUACAUCUCCAUAAGUCAAUAAAACUACAUUUUAUCUUGAGUUCUUGACAGAAACGUCAUGUAAUUAUCGAAAAUUAAGAUUUAUUGCAUUUGACCUACCGGUUGGUUCACUUGCUGCUGCUUCGUUUGGCGGGACUAGAUUUAUUGCAUUUGACCUGCCAUUAUCCUGUUUCUGGUGCACUAAGCUACUCCUUAACUUCUUAGGAAAGCUCUUUAUAGAAUUUCCCUGGGCAGGCUUCUCCUCUUCAUCUAUACUUGAACCAUGACGUUUGUACCUUGGAACAAGGUCGGAAUCUAAGGAUCAAAGAAUAUUUUGAUUAGUAAAGAAAAUACACUCCCAACUUUAAUAAGAAAUAAAAUGGUCAACUCUUUAAGUUGAAAUAAUAUCUGAAAUACAUAUAGAGGAUACUUGCAGAGUCAGAAUAGAAAUUUUUUUCUGGGAUAACCAUAAAUGAGAAUAAAACAUAAUCCUAGAUAAAUAAUCUUUUACGAAACCAGUGCACAGUCAAAUUUUAAAAUCUUAGGUUCCUUAUUGUCUUACAUCAAUAAGCACCAAAUACUAUACAUGAAAUACAGAUGCAACAAAUAUACAUAUAGUUCCUGAAAUUGUAGUCCAGUGGAUACCCGAACCCAUAACCCUUAGUAACAAGAUAAGGAUUCGACACCCUGUGGAUACAACUGUUUGAGCAAGUACUUAAAUUUCUUGUGAUUGACCUUACCCCAAAGAAAGAAAUAAACAUUUAUAUAUAACUAGGAAAUUCAAGACUUAAAAACAAUUAUUCUGUCUCAAUAAUACUACUUAUAGAUGAAAUACAUGGAUACUACCAUUAUUAUAUUGUGAAUCCCCUAGAUAUGUCAAUUUGAACUAAUUAAACAAUCACUCAUGAGACCGGAAACAUACUUGGUUCUGCCCGUUUGAACUACUACACGAAAUGUGAGGAAAAUUUAUUUCAUCACAUUGAUUUCUGUACAAUGGAACAGUCAUAAAAUUUUAAACUCAAAACCCAGUAUAAUAAGAGGAUAUUUGUAUAAGAAUAUGGAAAACAGAUUGUGGACUAUCAAGACAACUUUUAACAACUAUUACACACAUAUGCUAAUACUCAUGCGCACAUGCUAUAUUUAACUUGAUUCUUGGGUUAACACCAAAAUAGGAUUAAGUGGAAAGUACAGCCUUAAGAAUUAUUAGAUUCGAAAGAUGCAAGGAUACUAAAUUAGAAGCAGAAUACCAGCAAACCUGAAAUAGAGGUCAGAAAUUCUGAAAUAACAUUUACAAAUACUUAGAUAAUGUCAAGUUUAAGAGAGAAUACACACUAAACAAGUGGUUCAAUUCCACUGAUAGCUUAAAGUGUCUAGACUUAGCAACGAGAGGGAAGAAUGUGAUAUUCUUAAGUAUGCAAGACAUCUAUGUCCUUUUUUAUCUAAAAGCUUCUGGCUAGUCAGAGAAAAGUUUGUUUUCUUUUCAAAAUACAUCUCAAUAAGUCAAUAAAACUACAUUGUAUUCUUGAGUUUUGGACAAAAACUUCAUGUAAUUAUCAAAGAUGCAAUUCCUUCACUCUCCUAUGCUGUAAAUCCAUCACUUAAGCGAACUUAUUAAAGAGAAAAUUUUUGAAUACUAAAAGUUAAGAAUUUGCACCUGAGCUUAAGAAAAAUGUUAUCCACAGAUGCAUGCAUUUAGAUUUUCUUAUUUCUUUAACCUCUAAUAUAGAUGAUAAGACGACGCCUGAAAAAUUGAUUGUCAAAUGCUUAUCAUGAAUGACACUGGACGACUUUCUUAAUUCAAAACACAAAGUUUCUCCUUGCAUUCAACACAGAGUAGUACAAUUCCAAAUCAAACAAAUACUCCUUACAUGUUACAGAAGUGAUAUGUACCUGAUAUAGCAGGCGGCGAGUCAACAUUUCUCACCAAUGAUAUGAGCCACUGCACUACAUCGUCCCGGUUUCUCCACUGUGUAUAUGCAUUAAUGGUUGCAUUCGACCCAAAAGCCUCAAGAUACUCCUUCGCAACUACAUACAUCAUCCGACCUUCUCUGUUCUCAUUACCAACAGCAGCAAGCAGUGAAAUUCCUGAAUACGAUCUCAAGUGAUAUUCGACAUUGACCUCAGAAAUAGUUCUCUCUUCCCAGGCAUUGUAGUUAUGUUUUUUCCCACCCAUCCUAAUGACAGACACACACUCAGACAAUAAGAAUCAAAGUGUAACAAUAUAAAUAGUUAAUUACUCAAACACAUAACCACCAGCAAACCGCCCUCCCCCCCCCUCCCCCCCCCCCCCNAAUUACCCAAAUCAAUUAGAGGUAAAAUUCAGCAUGACAACCGAAAGGCUCUUCUUUCUUGUAAACACCCCAACCCACCCCACACACACACACACACUUACUUUUCAAUCCCAACAAUAACACAAAAUGAAUAAAAGAACUGACAAACUUGGAAAUAAUUAUCUGAUUAAUAUCCAUCUCGAAAGGAAUACAAACAAAUCUAUUAGUAGCAGUUGUGCACAAGGUUGAAUGACCCCCGAAGGACCUCGACAAGGUGUAGGAAAAACAGAAAACUCAACCAGAGAUGUGUUACAUAUAUACAAUAUAGAGUCAGCCAGUCAGGGAAAACAUAUAAAAAAAUCAUUAAACAGAUAACUGCUUUAUAAGAUAAUGCAGGGUAAAAGUUAUUAAAAUAUAAAUGAAAAAAUUGGGAAUAGCACCUACCUUGAGUGGCAACGAGUACAAGUUUAUGCAAACUAUGGCACAGCGUGAGGCACUAAGAAGAAGAUUUUUUUGUUUCAAAUUAAAAAAAUGGCUUUCACCUAUACAAGACUAACAUAACAACCAGAAGAUAUAAACACUGUGGAAAAAUUCAAUUUUGAUUGCGAUAGAGCCAUUGAAUGCUGCUGAGGUGAUAUCUUUGGACAAUACUGUACUGACAAAUCUUAAAAGUAACAUUAAAGAGUAACGUACAAUCGAGAUAGGUAAAGAGGAAGAGAAAGUCAAGGACUCAGAGAUUGGAAUAUGCUUACAUCUUCUGCAGAGAUGGCAAUUUGACAACAUCUCGUAAAUGUAAAACCGAAAAAAAAAAACACUGUUGAUAUAUGUGCAUAAAGAAUAAACAUACAGAAAACCAGAUGCACACACAUAAACCAAGUAAAAUGGUCAGCAGCAAAAAACUAUUAAUUACAUCGCUGCAUAUUACCUCGAGCUAAAUUUCCUUUGCUUCUCUGAAAGAACAAUUUUUUAGCUAAUGUUCUUCUGCUUCUCUGAGAACAAUUUUGAAAGAUAACAUAACACUUAUACCCCGAAAACACAAUUAGGCAUACAUUUUCAAUUUGGGAUAAUUGAAUCUAGACGUUCUUUUUGUUUCUUUUGCCAAGUAGAUAUAGAUAUUUUUUAAUUACGCGAGGAUAAUUUGAAUCUUGCGGAUUUUGUUGAUUUCAAUUGGAACUUCAAGUUCGAUAUGAAUAUCCAGCUAUUAUUUCCAUAGAACAAAAUCAGUGUAAAGGUUUAAUGUUUUUCUGAAGUAAUCAAAUUAUACAAAAGUAUAUAUGUUGUAAAGGACAAGAUAUUAAUAUUGUAUAUUAUUAAGAAAUUGUAUUUAAGCGAUAAAAAUCAAUGGGCUACCUUUAUCACAAUAAUAACUAUAUCUCAGAGUCCCAACCCCCAAUAUUAUCAUUUUUAUAAUGGAGACAAAUUAUUGUCCCGAGAUGUGCUCAUGACCCACUGUCCACCUAGAAACAGGCUUUCGAAUGAGGUGAAUUGAUAGAGUAUAAUUUCGAGUAAGCGGUCCUAAAAAGAGAUUAUUAUUACAUAGAGUUUGGACCAUAAACUUGUAUUAUAAUAAGGAGUUUAUUCUUAUAUAGAGUAAUACUAUACAAAGGUUCCAUUGUAUAUGAUCCACAUAAGCCCACCUCCUACCACACUAAGAUUUUAGGAUUGUUGAUUGCUUAACAUGGCAUCAAAUUUCGGUCAAGAAAGUGGUCUCGGGUUCGACUCUUCUCGCCUAAUUUGUAUGAUUUAAUGUGUUGAUAAAAAAAAGUAGUUGAAGCUUAGUUAAUAACAUAUUACCUAUUUCAUUUAAUUCCAACAAAUAAUUUAUAUGCCUCAAGAUUUUUUUUACCAAUGUGGUUAUUUCCAUACAUAAGAGAUUUUUGUAAUAAGAAUAAGAUGCCAAAAUUUUACUAAAAAUACCGCUUUCUCCAAAAAAGAAUGGCAUAAUAAAAAAUAUUGAGUAUGUGUGUGCGUGCGCAAAUGAAACUUAGAUACACUCUGAUCACGUGGUCAAUUUUUCUUAAUAUCAUUUGAUGUCUACCUUAAUCAUAAUUGUUUUGUAUUUCUUUACAUUUCUCCUCACAUGCCUGAAAUAGGUUUUGUCUCUUGAAAAUGUAACAUAAAACAAAUUUUACAGGAAUAUUAAUUGAUUCUUAUUUAUAUACAAGUGUAAAUUGUUAUUAGUUAUUAGCUUAAUAAUUGCAGUUAAUGAUUAUUUGUUAUUAGUUAAUAAUCACAUAGCAAAAUAAAUUUAAAACAUGAAAUAUAAAAAGAAUAGCUCAGUUUAGUCUAUUAAAAAAAUAAAAUUUUAACCUAAACAAUACAGUGUGGUACUCCAUGUUGAUAAGCCCGGCUCAAACUAUGUUGAGGCCCUGUCCAUAUAUCAUAAAGUGAUGCCCCAGGAUAUAUUCAACUAUAAUAUGUUUUUUUUUAAAAUUACACAUUCUAAGUGUAUAUAACAGGGUGUAAUAUUUUAAUAAUACAUAAACAAUUUUUUCUAUAUAAUUCUAAACUCAUAGAAUUAAAAAACUUCAUCUUUCAAAAUUUAAUAUAGUUAAAAAAAAACACUAGAAAUGUAUUCUAGAGAUACAUAAUUCAAGAUCAAGAUUUAUUUUUAAUCUUCUAUUUGAUGUUAAGUUUUGUUAUAAUGAUUAUUAUUCAAUUAUUGUGAUUUUGUGUUUGUGAUUAUCAUUAUUAUACUAUAAAAGUUGAAAAUUACAUGUAUUAUGUUUAAAAGUUAAUGAACAAUCAUUGUUGAUGGAAAAUAAUGAAAAAUAACAUCAACAAUACUUAAACUUAUGAUAACAGAGCAAAAUAAUCACAGAGCAAAAUAAAUUUAAAACCAUCUAAAAAUAAAAUUUUAACCUAGAUCAACUCUAUAUACAGUUAUUACCAGUUAAGAUAUGGAUACAUUAGAUAUAGAAUAUUACUACUUAAAGUUAUCAAGAAAAGAAACAUUACUUGCACAAGUUUUGAUCUUUAUAACUUUUUCUUAUCAAGGUUAAAUAAUGAAUACAUUGUAUAGAAUUAGAAGUUUCGAUCUUGUAUACUUUAUCUUGAAGUCUACUUUUAUAUGAGCUCAACCAUAUAUUCUAAAUGGAAAUAAUUAGAAGAUCCAUACUUUAUCAAUCCUUUCCAAAUCCAUUAGUCUUUAGAGUCUAUUCAUUACUUUACGUCUUCAACUCAACUCAGUACUUCAUUAUUAGUAUAGAAGUCCUUGCUAUUUAAACGCGUUAGGCCCAGAGUAUUAAUCCUAUUAUUUGACCCAACAUAUGUACUAUAGACGAUGGAAAAAAUCCAGUUAGGCUAUAACUAUAAAGUAUAAAUUGUGGUAUCUAUUUUUUUAAUCAAAAUUAGAAAGAGCGUGCAUAAUAUAUGUAAUAUAGUCAUCCUACAAAAAAUAAUGAAAUAAACCAAUUAUGUUAUGCAGAAGGUGUGAAACAAAAACAAAAUUUACAGUAAUUAUUUUAGUACAUCGAAAUGACGCUGAAGAUGUGAAACACAAAUAAAAUUAACGGUAAUUAUUUUAGUACAUCUAAAUGACGUACCGUCCAAGGCCAGCAGUUCCCACUGAGUAUAGGAGUCUGAAUAACCUGCACAGUGUUAACCUCCAUUUCAUGAAACCCAACAUUACUACUAAUCAUUAGAUACAAUAAGACCUGUAACUGCAUUUGUAAUUGGUAGACAAUUUCCCCUUUUUUGGAGCAUCACCAGUAAUCCUUACAUGAGCAUGUCCCUGCAACAAAAUGAUGAAACCGAUUCCGGUCCCUAAUGAUGAUCUUCCUAUUAUAAACUAUGGAGAUUAUUUUUAUGGCUGAAUGGCAGUCAUCACAAACACGGAGAUUCUUAACAAUUCGAAUUGAGACUCCUGGAGCUGUAUUAAGAAUACCAAAAGCUAUUGCAAGCUUUUCGCUGUGACGAACAAGCAAUGUCUCUUUCUCUUUAUCAUUAAUAUCUUGCAGAACAGAGGUUGUUAAAGGUACAUAGCCUGCUUCUUUCAAUCUAUUCAUAAUCUCAGAUAACAUCUUAUAGAUUUCAACAGAUUGCAAGUGUGAUUCAUCACCAGAAAUAAAUUCAUGGACUUCGUUCCCAAUUUCAAUUGAACUGCUCCCUGGGAUCCUCUGGAUUUUGUUGUUUUUCAUAAUCCUUCUCACAUUGACAACCUUGUCCCACUGUUUGGCUUGAGAAUAUAUAUUUGACAACAGAACAUAAUUCCUGUCAACAUUGGGUUCUAGUGCUACAAGUUUUAUUAUAGCUUCUUCUGCCAGUUCUACAUUCCUAUAAAUUUUACACGCUCCAAGAAGGGCUCUCAAAAUUACUGCAUCCGGUUCGAAAGGCAUGCUUCUAAUAAGUUCUCUAGCUUCCUGAAGUCUCCCUGAUCGGCCCAGAAUGUCAACCAUGUUUCCAUAGUGUUCAAUUUUGGGAGGAAUACAAUAGAUAUCACUCAUAGCAUUAAAAUAUGUCCACCCCUUGUCAAAUAAGCCAAUGUGACUACAUGCUGUCAGCACACCUAUGAAGGUGAUAUCAUUGGGUUUAGUUCCUUCAGAUAUCAUUUUAGAAAAAAGAUCAAGUGCAGCCUCACCGUACCCAUGGUUAGCAAGCCCCAUUAUCAUUGCACUCCAGGCAAAAACAUCCUUCUUACUCAUCUGCUUAAAACAACCCACUGCAUUGUCUAUAUCCCCACACUUUGCAUACAUGUCAACAAGAGAUGUACCGAGCCUUAUACCUAUUUCGAUACAACUUCUUUUAAUGUACUCAUGGAUCAUCUUUCCCAUACCUAAAGCACCUAUAUCUCCACAUGCACACAACACACUAACCAUUGUGAUCUGAUCAGGCACUACAUUCGAUAACUGCAUUUCAUGAAAAAGUUUCAAAGCAUUACUAGAGCACCUGGAUUUUGCGCAGGUUGGGAACAUGGAGCUCCAAGAAACAAAAUCCUUUCUAGCACUUGUAUCAAACAAAUCUUGGGCAGAUUCAAUAUCACCAAUCGAAGCAUAGCCAUGAAUCAUAGUAUUCCAAGAAACUAAGUCUCUAUCAGAAAUCUUAUCAAAAAACUCUUCAGCCAAUCCCAUCUCCCUAACUCUAACAUAUUCUCCCAACAUAACAUUACAAGAAAUACAAUCCGGAUCCUUAAUUUCAUCAAACACUUUCCUCGAAACAUCCACCAAACCAAAUCUCCCAUACAUUUCAAUCAACGCCGUCUGAACAAACAAAUCAGACCCAAAACCAUGUUUCAAACAAUAAGCAUGUAAAGAUUCCCCAUUCUCACUAUCAACCAAUCUCCCACACGACUGAAGAACCACCGAUAAGCUAAAACUAUCAAUACAAAUCCCAUCAAAACGACACAUUCGCAUAAAAAGUGACAGACUCUCUUCAGGGUUGUUUGAUUUUAGGUAACCUCUAAUCAUAGUAUUAAACAUGAAAGUAUCUGGUUGAGGAAUUGUGUCAAACAGAUUGCGGGCAUACGAGAUAUCAUCAGCGAUCGGUGUCAAUAUCUUACCUAAUAGCUUGGUUAGGACAACAACGUUGAUGUCUAAAGCGGUUUUGAGAAUUAAAGCAUGGAUUUGGAGAAGAUGGUUGAGGUUAGUUGAGUGUUGUAUAAGGGACAUUACAUUGUGUUUGAUGGUUUUAUAGGUUGGUCUCAUGUUUGAAUGUAACUGUAUUAACUACUUUUCGCGGUAUACUUACACUUGUACGUACCACCAUGAGCUGGACAGUUCUAAAAAUCGUCCAUUUGAUCAAUUAAUCACCCGAUUUAUUUACAAGAUAUUUUUAUUGAUUCAGUCUUUUAAAUAUGAUUAAAAAUAAUAUAUAUUUGUAGAACUAGUAUAAUUGGUAAAAUAAAUAUUAUGUCUUUUUGUAAUUGAACAUUUUUUGAAAAAAAAUGUUUCAUAAACAGUAACAUAUAAUUGUUAGAUUAACACUUGAUAAAAGCUAUUGAAUCAGUUCAAUAAUUUUGAUAACAAGUUAUUAAAUGAGACCAGAUUAAUAAUUUUAAUGAUGUGUAAGAUCUCAGUAUGAUUUUAUGGUAAUACUAUAUGGGGUUUUAAAUCAAAUAUAUGAACUGACUCUAACAAUUCCUAAUGGUCACCUACACAAUUACACCCUAAAAUUAAGGCUGAAACACACAAUAGCCAUUCAAGUUUACACCAAUAUGCAUGUCAACCCUCAAAGUUCAAAAAUGUUCGGUCCAGCCACCAAAGUUACAAGAAUGUAACUACUAGCCACAUGAGACAGAGAGUGCAUGGCACACUCCCUGCCUGAGACUUGAGAGUACACUGACAUAUACUCCCACACUAUGCAUGUCCUUUUACUCCUCCAUCUCAGUUAUUAUUUCAGUUCUAUUAGUUAAAAUUAUGUUAGUCCGAGUUUGAGAAAAUACAUUUUUUCGCCAACCAACUCAUUGUUUGUUUAGAAAUUUGCCACCGAACUAUAAUUUUUUUCCUUUUUGUCACUAAUGUUAGGUUCGGAUUUUUUGAACUAUAAUUUUUUUCCUUUUUGUCACUAAUGUUAGGUUCGGAUUUUUUUUAGUCACUAAGCCUAGGCUCAGAUUUGAUUACUAACAUUAUGUUAAUUUUUUAGUAUUAUUAAACUAUAGUGAUAGUCUGCAAUAUAUUAUGAAGAUCUGAUAUAUGUCUAUAUCUUUGUAUGUAGCACUUACGCAUGUCCCCUAGAUAGUUCACCUUGUAGGACGAGAGUUUGACAUAUAUUUUAAGGCUCCUACAAAAUUUAGUUUCAUGAAUUAUUUUAAUUUUUUUUCUAAGUAAAAGUUAUGAUUGUCUAUUGUUUAUAUUAUAUAUAGUUUCAUAAAAAUCAAGGUUAGAUAUCAUCUACAAUUAUUUAUACCAUUGUACAAAAAUAAGGACGAAUAUCAUAAAAAAAGUAAACGAUAUACAAUUAAUCUUUAUUUUACCCCUCAUUUAUGUUAUUAUUAGAGCAACCCCAAUGCAAGUUCUCCUUACUCAUAUUUGGUCUAGGUGGACAAGAUUUAGGGGUUAGGAUCAAAAAUCAAUCCUCCAACGCAGCUUCCCAUCCCAUAAAAAUUUUAGGGGAGAGAAAACUCAUCCCCUUAUUUGAGAGAGCAAAAAGCCAACCCCUUGUUAAAAUAAUUUAUGAAACUUAAUCGUUUAGGAGCCUUAAAAUAUGUGUCAAAUUUUCGUCCUCCAAGGUAAACUAGCAGGGGCACAUAUGGAGUACUACAUAUAAAGAUAUAAACACAUAUCAGAUCACCGUAAUAUUGCGGACUACCAUUAUGUUUCAAUAAUGCUAAAAAGAAUAAUAUAAUGUUAAUAAUCAAAUCCGAACCUAACGUUAUUGACAAAAAAAAAUCCGAACCUAACAUUAGUGACAAAAAGGAAAAAAAUUAUAGUUCAGUGACAAAUUUCUUAACAAACAAUAAGUUGGGUGGCGAAAAAAUCUACCGUCCGAGGUUUCUAACCUGCUUUGAUUAGCAGUGUCCGUGUAUGACUAGAAGAUGGCCGGGGCAGCUGUGUUUCUCAGUCGAUUAUUCUUAUUAAUAUAUUAAUAUAUUAUUAUUAAUAAAGUUACAUAUCAUUCGAAUUUGUGUGUAGAUAUUUAGUUUUUAUUUUGCAAAAUCGAGCAGCAUAUAUCUUCAGUACAUUAAAAUAAAAAGCAUCAAGUUUGGUCCUAAGAUAAUAUCGUAACAUUCUAUUUAUAAGUUAUUUUUUUAAUUAAAGUUAAUCAUUAUUAUAAUUUAUAAUAAACCAAAAAUAUAUUUAAUUUAACACACUCGAUGAUUUUAUUUUAAAUAAAACACGUUUAUUUUAUAAUUAUAAAAUCAAACACAUUUACUUUUUAGUUAUAAAAUCUUUUUGUUAAAAAAUAUAUAUUAUUCUUGAAUAACCUUUUCAUUAAAAAAAAUAUAUUAAAAUUAUUUUAAUAAAUAUUAUAAAUCACAUAAAAGUAUAACACGGAUUAUGAACUAAAAUAUUAUAUGAGAAAGAUAUUUAUAGUCUAGGCAGACCCGUCUCGAUCAAAGAAAGAGGUCAUGUUUAAAUUUAAAUAUGGGCACUUUUAUUAAUAAGAUACAUACCACAUAAAUAUGUUUUAUUUUAAAUUAAAUUAGAACUUGAAACAAAAACCUUUAACAAUACAUGUACAUCGUCGAGCCUUAUUUAAAUUUUUUGUUAAAUAUAUUAAUUUAUUUAAUACAAAAAAUAAAUUAUUAUUACUAUAAUAUAUAAUUUGUGAUAAGAAAUAAAAAUUAUAUAUUAAUUAUUUUACUAAAAUUAAUUAACAAUUUAAUACAAGAAGCUCAAAAAAUAAUUCAAUAAAUAACACAUAAAUUUAAAAUAAAAUACUAACAUAAAAAUAUACCAAAAAUAUACCAAAAGCGCUAAAAAAAAACUUUAUUAAUUAAUAAUACUAGGUGCAUUUAUUUUAAAAAGAACAAUGGGUGUUGCUGCAUAGUACUAUGGAGGCCAUAACGGUGAAAGGAAAAGGGAAAGGUACAUGCAUCUGUGCAGAGUGUAUGUCAGACAGUAAGACUACUCUCAGGCAGGGAGUUUGCCAUGCACUCUCUGUCUCAUGUGGCUAGCAGUUACAUUCUUGUAACUUCGGUGGCUGGACCGAACAUUUUUGAACUUUGAGGGUUGACAUGCAUAUUGGUGUAAACUUGAAUGGCUGUUGUGCGUUUUAACCUAAAAUUAAAAGUGAGAAAAAUCUUGAAUUCAAACCGAAAUCGAACUCAGAAAUAAAAAAAAAAAAACCUGACAAAAAUCGAACUGCAUAAAAUCGAGCCGAGCCGAAACUAAAAAUUUUAAAACCGAACCGAAUCUAACGGAUGAUGUUCCAGUUUUAAGUGAAAACCGAGCCAAAUAAAAUCUAACCAAACCGAUUAUAUAAAUAAAUAUUAUUAAAUAUUAUUUAUUUAUAUAAUAUAAUUUUAUAAGAUAAAUAUAUAAACCAAAUUAAUGUCAUAGUGUAUUAUGGGUUAUCAAUAUGUUAAUCGUAUGUCGCGGAGUAGUGUAACAGUAGCUAGUGGGGAAGUGAGUAUAAACCUCAUAAGUUUAAACAUAUAAGUAUGAUUGUUAUAUUCUGAGUGAAUAAGCACAAACAUAUGAGUCACAAGCAUGAUAUUAUUAAGUUACUUUAUAUGAUUAGGUUUUUGUUUAUAUUUUCGUUUUGUUGGAUACAAUUAAACAUACCUAAAUAGUUCUUUAUUCGAGCAAUUGUCUAAAUUUAAAUUUAAAAUUUCUCAUUAACAUUAAUCAAGUUAACCAAUUUAUUUAUCAAACUGGAAGUAUGUUUCUUGAUUUUAUUUUUUGCGGUUUAAAACUGAAAACGAACUGACCGAACCGGAGUUUUAAAACCGAAAUCGAAAAUGACAGUUCAAUUACGGUUGCGGUUUCAACUUUUAAAACCGAGGACUUUCGGUUUCGGUUUUACCCAAACCGAACCGAACUGAGGUUUGCUCUUCCCUAGUUAAAACAACUUUAUUCAAUUUUUUGAAUAAUACUAGCUCAUCAUUGAAAAUAUCUUACAAAAUCUCUUUUCAAUGUUAUUAAUGAAUUCUCAUGAAAUUAUUAAAUAUCUAAUUUAAGAAAAAGGAGGAAAUUGAAGAUAUUAACAUGAUUAUAACUACAUGAACACAACUUCAUUAAAUAAAAAAUAGCAAUAACCUUCCACGUCACUAUCAUGACGGAUCUUUCUUGAACCAUCGAGUCGUCAAUAAUAACAUAGCAAUAGGUUACAAGAAGUGCAUGCCUUAAACUCUUAAGAUGACUUCGACUCAUCAACAAUAACAUAGCAAUAGAUUAUAAGAAGAGGAUGCCUUGGACUCUUAAGAUGACUUUUAAUUUUGGUCUGAGUUUAUGAUAAGAGUUUGGGAUAUGUAGACCCCGAGCUUAAAUGGAUGACGGACCUAUAAAUAGUAAUCCCCCAACUGGUUUAAAAAGACCACAAACGCAAACCAAGAACAGCUUAAAAAAGUCCAUAGACGGGCUUGCAGAAUACAUGAUCCAAAUAAAAGUAUAUAUAAUUCAAAUAUGAAAAACAGGUCAACUUAUCAUAAAUCUCAAAUUUUGAUGAUCACAUUUUAGCAAACUGUCUCUAUAUAUCAGCUUAAUAUUAUUGUCUAAUUGUUAUAAUAAUGUGUUGUAUUUCAGAAUCUAAUCAAGUUUUGUAGGGUAUUAAAGUAUCAGAAUAAUAGCAAGCUUCUAUUUAAAAAACAAAUGCUACGACAGAGAACAGAAUUCUACGUAGAAUUAUAUUCAUUCUACGUAGAAUUCUACGUAGAGAACACAAUCUGAGCACAUAUGGAACUCAUAAUGAGAGGCUUUGAUAUGUACUAGAAAAACUGGUUCACAAACAAUAAAGUAUACCAAGAACCCACAUUCUGAACGUAAGCACAGGCAUGUUCGGAUCAUCAGUUUGCGUAACUAGUACAUUAGCAAAGGCGUCCUUUUCUAAUAUCUCAGAUAUGCAUAUAAAAGAGUAUACAUGUAUAAUAAAGAUACUAAACAAACUCAUCAACUAAAUAUUAGUGACCACAAAAACAAAUAAUUACACAACCACGUAAAAAAAGAGGAAACCAAAGAAAUAUUUGGAAGAGUCAUUUCAAAGCUUUCUAACAAUUACAAAACUAAUCUUUAAAAUCUGUGAUGCAAAAAGCCUGGAUGAUGACCUUCCGACAGAGAUAGCUCACGUUGCCUCUCAUCAUUCAUGUUGAUGACAAUGUUAUGCAAGAUGCAGCAGGCCUUGGUCAUACAUCGAAGCGUUUCAGGUUUCAUUACAGUUGUAAGAACCUUCCAUUCUUUCUUUAGCCUAUUAAAUGUCUCAGCACUCAUUCCCUCUUCAGGGGCAGAAGCAGGCCCACGGAGGUGGCGAUGGCCAUUUUCUGCCAAGACCUCCACAAAGGACCAUGUGACCUUAGCAGCGGUAAAUGAGUGCGUCCCAAUUUCACCACCAAUUGAAUUCAGCAACUUGCCCAAUUUUAGGCUUCUCAUAGCUAUGGCUACUUUAUCAACCACAGUUAAUUCCCUGUUAUCGUUAAAUUUAAAUAUUUGUGAAUUUGACAUAGGCUCCAUCACAAGAGAGCAUAAGUAUCUGAAGGUUCUCAUUGAGAUCCCGCAGUAUACUUCGACUCUGGUUGAGUCUUCCACGAGAGGAAAAUGUCCUGCAAAGAAGAGAAGAAAAUGCAUUUUUAUACAUACGACUAAGACACUGCCAUAAUGUGUUUAUCAGGCUUAAAACUUGAACAUAUUAGAUUAAUGCAUAACACCAUACUAUUCCAUUCAUUUCAGUAUACACUAUACAUACACACAUCGACCUGUAAACUGUAUAAACAAAAUGAAGCUAGAAUGUCAAAAAUGUAAAUCAGUAAACUGCUUGUGAUUAACACACAGGGAUAUAUCGCUUUCAGUAAGGUUCCAAUCUGCAAAGAAUGCUACAGCUUUCAUAUCAAAUCAGAAUCAAUAUGAACUGAUUAUAAGUGGAUACUUUCGGUAUUCAUAGCAAGUUACAAGCUCCCAGGAAAACAUUAUAUCUACCAUAAUAUAGCUGUUUGACUAAACAAACCCUUACAAGAACUAAGUAAAUAACAACAUAUUCGAAAACAACAGAUUAGAUAUUGUUCCAAAGACUAAAACAACUGGAAGCAGUUUGACCUUAAUUACUAGUUUGACCUUGUGGAACUGGAAAUAGAAGUAUUUUGAAUAGCGACUUGCCUAAAAUCAAUCCCUUGCUACUUUGGAAAAAAAGCUAGUCCUGAAUUCUCACUGGUGACUUAUAGAUCAUAUAAUCAGAAGAUGAUUAUACUCGGUAUAGUUUGGAUUUACCUCAUAUUUUCUUCUAUGUAUGCACCAAUGUCAAAAUCUGAAAUGCUUUCUUUCCCAUAUUAUAGAGUAUAAACAAAGAAACUAAAAUAUCCACAACUACAUACAAAUCACAUCACCUUCCUCAACUCCUUGCAAAUCUCAUGACUCUAAUCCCAUCAGCAAAAUUUAUAUACACAUUACAUAACUCCCAGAAUUAAAAUUUAAAUGUUUAUAUCUUCAUUGUACUAAGCGACAAUUAAAUUCUAGGUCAAAUAAGACUCCGAACUACAGACUGAGGAUUUAUUCAUUCUCUAUCUGAAGUGAUUUUCAAUAAAUCAAAAGACAAAUCAACUGGUCACAAAUUAGAAUUCAUCAAACGCAGAUGAACAAGCAAACAAAAAAUAAAUUCGGGAAAAAAAGGUAGUACAUACCAAACCAUAACGAAAUCAACAAGAACAAUUCAUCACCACCAAAUGAGAACUUAAGAAUUUGAAGAUUUACAUACCAGCAAUCCUCUUCACGAAUUCGGCAAACCAUAUAACGUAAUUUAAAGGGAAUUUGCCACAAUUAGCUUCACUUCUUUCCAUUCUUUUGUGGUUUGAGGAAUGGAGAUUGAUUUUCCUUGCCACCGUACAAUAACUCUAAAGUUUGCGACUUUAAAGUUUGUUGGAACACAAAAGUAUAUAAAGAGUGAGAUGGAUGGGUCUGGGAUGACGUCAACGUGUUGAUGGAGGUUAAAAGAAAUAGAAUAGUAUAAGGAGUAUGUUUGUGAAUACUGGGGGUCGGCUUCAUAUAUACAAAUUUAUCCUAAGGAAAUUGUAAUUGGGCAUAAAAUAAAUUUUAUUUCAAAGUUGUAGCUCAUAUAUGAAGUAAAAUAAAGUAAUUAAAAUAUACUCACUCCAUCCCAUAAANNNNNNNNNNNNNNNNNNNNNNNNNNNNNNNNNNNNNNNNNNNNNNNNNNNNNNNNNNNNNNNNNNNNNNNNNNNNNNNNNNNNNNNNNNNNNNNNNNNNNNNNNNNNNNNNNNNNNNNNNNNNNNNNNNNNNNNNNNNNNNNNNNNNNNNNNNNNNNNNNNNNNNNNNNNNNNNNNNNNNNNNNNNNNNNNNNNNNNNNNNNNNNNNNNNNNNNNNNNNNNNNNNNNNNNNNNNNNNNNNNNNNNNNNNNNNNNNNNNNNNNNNNNNNNNNNNNNNNNNNNNNNNNNNNNNNNNNNNNNNNNNNNNNNNNNNNNNNNNNNNNNNNNNNNNNNNNNNNNNNNNNNNNNNNNNNNNNNNNNNNNNNNNNNNNNNNNNNNNNNNNNNNNNNNNNNNNNNNNNNNNNNNNNNNNNNNNNNNNNNNNNNNNNNNNNNNNNNNNNNNNNNNNNNNNNNNNNNNNNNNNNNNNNNNNNNNNNNNNNNNNNNNNNNNNNNNNNNNNNNNNNNNNNNNNNNNNNNNNNNNNNNNNNNNNNNNNNNNNNNNNNNNNNNNNNNNNNNNNNNNNNNNNNNNNNNNNNNNNNNNNNNNNNNNNNNNNNNNNNNNNNNNNNNNNNNNNNNNNNNNNNNNNNNNNNNNNNNNNNNNNNNNNNNNNNNNNNNNNNNNNNNNNNNNNNNNNNNNNNNNNNNNNNNNNNNNNNNNNNNNNNNNNNNNNNNNNNNNNNNNNNNNNNNNNNNNNNNNNNNNNNNNNNNNNNNNNNNNNNNNNNNNNNNNNNNNNNNNNNNNNNNNNNNNNNNNNNNNNNNNNNNNNNNNNNNNNNNNNNNNNNNNNNNNNNNNNNNNNNNNNNNNNNNNNNNNNNNNNNNNNNNNNNNNNNNNNNNNNNNNNNNNNNNNNNNNNNNNNNNNNNNNNNNNNNNNNNNNNNNNNNNNNNNNNNNNNNNNNNNNNNNNNNNNNNNNNNNNNNNNNNNNNNNNNNNNNNNNNNNNNNNNNNNNNNNNNNNNNNNNNNNNNNNNNNNNNNNNNNNNNNNNNNNNNNNNNNNNNNNNNNNNNNNNNNNNNNNNNNNNNNNNNNNNNNNNNNNNNNNNNNNNNNNNNNNNNNNNNNNNNNNNNNNNNNNNNNNNNNNNNNNNNNNNNNNNNNNNNNNNNNNNNNNNNNNNNNNNNNNNNNNNNNNNNNNNCACUAUACAUACACACAUCGACCUGUAAACUGUAUAAACAAAAUGAAGCUAGAAUGUCAAAAAUGUAAAUCAGUAAACUGCUUGUGAUUAACACACAGGGAUAUAUCGCUUUCAGUAAGGUUCCAAUCUGCAAAGAAUGCUACAGCUUUCAUAUCAAAUCAGAAUCAAUAUGAACUGAUUAUAAGUGGAUACUUUCGGUAUUCAUAGCAAGUUACAAGCUCCCAGGAAAACAUUAUAUCUACCAUAAUAUAGCUGUUUGACUAAACAAACCCUUACAAGAACUAAGUAAAUAACAACAUAUUCGAAAACAACAGAUUAGAUAUUGUUCCAAAGACUAAGACAACUGGAAGCAGUUUGACCUUAAUUACUAGUUUGACCUUGUGGAACUGGAAAUAGAAGUAUUUUGAAUAGCGACUUGCCUAAAAUCAAUCCCUUGCUACUUUGGAAAAAAAGCUAGUCCUGAAUUCUCACUGGUGACUUAUAGAUCAUAUAAUCAGAAGAUGAUUAUACUCGGUAUAGUUUGGAUUUACCUCAUAUUUUCUUCUAUGUAUGCACCAAUGUCAAAAUCUGAAAUGCUUUCUUUCCCAUAUUAUAGAGUAUAAACAAAGAAACUAAAAUAUCCACAACUACAUACAAAUCACAUCACCUUCCUCAACUCCUUGCAAAUCUCAUGACUCUAAUCCCAUCAGCAAAAUUUAUAUACACAUUACAUAACUCCCAGAAUUAAAAUUUAAAUGUUUAUAUCUUCAUUGUACUAAGCGACAAUUAAAUUCUAGGUCAAAUAAGACUCCGAACUACAGACUGAGGAUUUAUUCAUUCUCUAUCUGAAGUGAUUUUCAAUAAAUCAAAAGACAAAUCAACUGGUCACAAAUUAGAAUUCAUCAAACGCAGAUGAACAAGCAAACAAAAAAUAAAUUCGGGAAAAAAAGGUAGUACAUACCAAACCAUAACGAAAUCAACAAGAACAAUUCAUCACCACCAAAUGAGAACUUAAGAAUUUGAAGAUUUACAUACCAGCAAUCCUCUUCACGAAUUCGGCAAACCAUAUAACGUAAUUUAAAGGGAAUUUGCCACAAUUAGCUUCACUUCUUUCCAUUCUUUUGUGGUUUGAGGAAUGGAGAUUGAUUUUCCUUGCCACCGUACAAUAACUCUAAAGUUUGCGACUUUAAAGUUUGUUGGAACACAAAAGUAUAUAAAGAGUGAGAUGGAUGGGUCUGGGAUGACGUCAACGUGUUGAUGGAGGUUAAAAGAAAUAGAAUAGUAUAAGGAGUAUGUUUGUGAAUACUGGGGGUCGGCUUCAUAUAUACAAAUUUAUCCUAAGGAAAUUGUAAUUGGGCAUAAAAUAAAUUUUAUUUCAAAGUUGUAGCUCAUAUAUGAAGUAAAAUAAAGUAAUUAAAAUAUACUCACUCCAUCCCAUAAAACAUGAGGUAAUCAAUUUUACGCACAUUUAAGAAAUUUGAGUAUGACUAUUUGAUAUGCAUUUGCAUUCACAAAAAAAUGAGUUAGUGGAUGAUGACUAAGCAUUUACCUGAACAUGUACUUAUAACUGCUUAGUCAUCAUCCACUAACUCAUCUUUUUGUGAAUGCAAAUACAUAUCAAAUAGUGAUACUCAAAGUUCUUAAAUGUGUGUAAAAUUGAUUAGCCCAUGCUUUAUAUAUGAGCUACAACUUUAAAAUAACAUUUAUUUUAUACUCAAUUACAAUUUCCUAAGGAUAAAUUUGUAUAUAUGAAGCCCACCCCCAGUAUUCACAAACAUACUCCUACUUUUACUAUUCUAUUUUCUUUAACCUCCGUCAACACGUUGAUGUUACCCCAAAUCCAUCCAUCUCACUCUUUAUAUACUUUUGUGUUCCAACAAACUUUAAAGUCGCAAACUUUAGAGUUAUUAUACGGUGGUAAGGAAAAUUAAUCUCUAUUCUUCAAACCACUUUCUUUUUAUAUCCUUUUGAUUUUAAGUUUUUAAUAACUUUACUUUAAGAGAGUGGAAAGAAGUGAAACCGAUUGUGGCAAAUUCCCUCUGAAUUAUGUUAUUUGGUUUGCCGAAUUCGUGAAGAGGAUUGUUGGUAUGUAAAUCUUCCAAUUUUCAUGUAUACUAAGUUGUUCUCAUUAAGUGGUGAUAAAUUGUUCUUGUCGAUUUCGUUAUGGUUUAGUAUGUAUUACCUUUUCUUUUUCGAAGUCAUUUUAUCUUCGCUUGUUCAUCUGUGUUUAAUGAAAUUUUAAUUUGUGACUAGUUGAUUUGUCUUUUGAUUUAUCGAAAAUUACUUUAAAUAGAAAAUGAAUAAAUCCUCAAUCUGUGGUUCGGAGUCUUAUUUGGCCUAAAAUUUAAUUGUCGUUUAGUACAAUGAAGAUAUGAACAUUUAAAUUUUAAUUAUGGGAGUCAUGUAAUGUAUUUAAAUUGUGCUGAUGGGAUUAGAGUCCUAAGAUUUGCAAGGAUUUAAGAAAGUUGAUGUGAUUCCUAUGUAGUUCUUGUGAAUAUCUUAGUUUCUUUGAUUAUACUCUUUAAUAUUGGGGAAAAAAGCAGUUCAAAUAUUGGCAUUGAGGCAUAAAUAGAAAAAAAAUGAGUUUAAUCCAAACUAUAGUGAGUAUAAUCAUCUUCUGAUUAUAUGAUUUGUAAAUCACCAGUUAUGAUUACUACUCGGUAUAUUUUGGAUUUACCUCAUAUUUUCUUCUAUGCAUGCCCACGAACUACUUAAAUCAUUCCCCGUCUACACUCAUCUUUAGUAAAUCAAAAUACAAACCAACUAGUUCCGAAUUAUAAUUUCAUCAAACACAGAUGAACAAGCAAACAUAAAAUUACUUUGCAAAAACAACAGGUAGCACAUACCAAACCAUAACGAAAUCGACAAGAACAGUUCAGCACCACCAAAUCAGAACUUAAUAUACAUGAGAAUUUGAAGAUUUACAUACCAGCAAUCCUCUUCACGUAUUGGGCAUACCAAAUAAUGUAAUUCACAUCAGGGAAUUCUCCAAUAUUUGCUUCACUGCUUUCUCUCUUAAAGCAAAGUUCUUAAAAACUUCAAAUUAGAAAGAGAUAAAAAGAAAGUGGUUCGAGGAAUGAAGAUUGUUUUUCCUUACCACUGGACAAUAACUCUAAAGUUUGCGACUUUAAAGUUUGUUGGAACAAAAGUAUAUAAAAUGUAUAUGUGUUCUAAAGCAAGAACUUAGAGAAUUUCAGACAAUGAUACAAAAGUUCUGCUUUUCUUGCUGAGGCUUCAACUUUGUUUACAUAAUAAUUACAUAAGUGAAUAUAUAAAUUUCUCCAUCCAUCACCUAGUACUCCAUGAGUUUCUGUAAAUGCUUUGCCGAUUCACAUCUGGGGUUUAGAAUUACGAGUCCAGAGUAUCUCCCGUACAUUUCAAUCAACGCCGUAUGAACAAACAAAUCAGACCCAAAUCCUCUAAUCAUCAGUAUCUAUAGUAUCUGGUUGGGGACUUGUGUCAAACAGGUGGCGGGCAUACGAGAUCUCAUCAGUGACCCGUGAGAUCUCAUCAGGUAGCUGGGUUAGGGUAACAUCUAAAGUGGUUUAGAGGAUAAGCAGAGAUUUGGAGAAGAUGAUUGCGGUUAGAUGAGUGUUCUCAGGGUUGAAUGUAUCGGCGUUCUUCACGAAGAUCCCGUUUAAUAUUUGAAACAUAUUUUCGUUAUUUGGGGUUAACAUUCUGAUUUUUUAUUUUUUUUUAAAUCAAUGAUCUAUUGAAAA
rnacentral:lncRNA from 1 species